AAGUCGUAACAAGGUUUCCGUAGGUGAACCUGCGGAAGGAUCAUUAUCGUAGGGCUUCGCCCUGUCGAGAUAGCGUCCUUGCCUAUUUAAGCACCGUUCGUUUCCUCAGCAGGCUUGCCUGCUACUGGGGACCCCACAAACCCUUUGUAAAUACAGCAAUCGUCUGAAAAACAAACAAAAAUCAAAACUUUCAACAAUGGAUCUCUUGGUUCUG
rnacentral:misc_RNA from 1 species